GUGGGAGACAAGUACCUUCGAGAAACCGGCCAAAACCCGGUGGAUAAAAUCGAGUUCCAGCCUCCUCAGAGACUUUAGCAACAACGAUUUCAACACUCUCUUACAGGAACUUCCUCCAGGCAGAAGAUACUGUCUUGCGAAGUUCCGGGUUCCUUCUUCGUCCGUGAGUCAUGAUCAAGAUACGCUUUCUUGACCACAUGGUUGAACCAGUGCAAUGCAUGUUGCUGUUCCACAUGGGAGAGUCGCGGUUUUUGAUCCCUUUGGGGAUUUUGGAGGUGAAAUGGAACGCGUAAUUGAUGACUCCUAUGUGGAAACUCUUAUGUCGAAGAAGGAACCGCGAUUUUGCUAAUCCAAGUGCUUAAAUCGUUGAGGCUGAAGUCGUUGAAGAGGACUUGGAACUCGAUCUUAUCCACCGCGUUUUAUCCGGUUUCUCUGUGGGUUGUGAAAUAUUUUAU
rnacentral:pre_miRNA from 1 species